rnacentral:rRNA from 1 species
AUUGGACGCUGGCGGAAUGCUUUACACAUGCAAGUCGAACGGCAGCACGGACUUCGGUCUGGUGGCGAGUGGCGAACGGGUGAGUAAUGUAUCGGAGCGUGCCCAGUCGUGGGGGAUAACGUAGUGAAAAUUACGCUAAUACCGCAUACGAGCUAUGGAUGAAAGCGGGGGAUCGCAAGACCUCGCGCGAUUGGAGCGGCCGAUAUCAGAUUAGGUAGUUGGUGGGGUAAAGGCCCACCAAGCCAACGAUCUGUAGCUGGUCUGAGAGGACGACCAGCCACACUGGAACUGAGACACGGUCCAGACUCCUACGGGAGGCAGCAGUGGGGAAUUUUGGACAAUGGGCGAAAGCCUGAUCCAGCCAUUCCGCGUGCAGGAUGAAGGCCUUCGGGUUGUAAACUGCUUUUGUACGGAGCGAAACGGCUUCCACUAAUACUGGGGGCUAAUGACGGUACCGUAAGAAUAAGCACCGGCUAACUACGUGCCAGCCGCCGCCGUAA